UACGUAGGGUGCAAGCGUUAAUCGGAAUUACUGGGCGUAAAGCGUGCGCAGGCGGUUCGCUAAGACCGAUGUGAAAUCCCCGGGCUUAACCUGGGAACUGCAUUGGUGACUGGCGGGCUAGAGUAUGGCAGAGGGGUAGAAUUCCACGUGUAGCAGUGAAAUGCGUAGAGAUGUGGAGGAAUACCGAUGGCGAAGGCAGCCCCCUGGGCCAAUACUGACGCUCAUGCACGAAAGCGUGGGGAGCAAACAGG
rnacentral:rRNA from 1 species